rnacentral:rRNA from 1 species
UGGGGAAUUGUUCACAAUGGGCGCAAGCCUGAUGACGCAACGCCGCGUGGAGGAUGAAGGUCUUCGGAUUGUAAACUCCUGUUGCCCGGGACGAAAAGCUUCGACCUAACACGUCGAGGUCUGACGGUACCGGGUGAGGAAGCCCCGGCUAACUCUGUGCCAGCAGCCGCGGUAAUACAGAGGGGGCAAGCGUUGUUCGGAAUUACUGGGCGUAAAGGGCGCGUAGGCGGCCUUCUAAGUCGAACGUGAAAUCCCUGGGCUCAACCCAGGAACUGCGUCCGAUACUGGAAGGCUUGAAUCCGGGAGAGGGAUGCGGAAUUCCAGGUGUAGCGGUGAAAUGCGUAGAUAUCUGGAGGAACACCGGUGGCGAAGGCGGCAUCCUGGACCGGUAUUGACGCUGAGGCGCGAAAGCCAGGGGAGCAAACG